rnacentral:rRNA from 1 species
UACAUGGGGUGCAAACGUUGCUCGGAAUUAUUGGGCGUAAAGCGCACGUAGGCGGUUUGUUAAGUCGGAUGUGAAAUCCCUCGGCUCAACUGAGGAAGUGCAUCCGAAACUGGCAGGCUUGAGUACUAAAGAGGGUCGCGGAAUUCCCGGUGUAGAGGUGAAAUUCGUAGAUAUCGGGAGGAACACCGGUGGCGAAGGCGGCGACCUGGGUAGAUACUGACGCUGAGGUGCGAAAGCGUGGGUAGCGAACAGG